AUUGAACGCUGGCGGCAGGCUUAACACAUGCAAGUCGAGCGGAGAUGAGGUGCUUGCACCUUAUCUUAGCGGCGGACGGGUGAGUAAUGCUUAGGAACCUGCCUAUUAGUGGGGGACAACAUUCCGAAAGGAAUGCUAAUACCGCAUACGUCCUACGGGAGAAAGCAGGGGAUCUUCGGACCUUGCGCUAAUAGAUGAGCCUAAGCCGGAUUAGCUAGUUGGUGGGGUAAAGGCCUACCAAGGCGACGAUCUGUAGCGGGUCUGAGAGGAUGAUCCGCCACACUGGGACUGAGACACGGCCCAGACUCCUACGGGAGGCAGCAGUGGGGAAUAUUGGACAAUGGGGGGAACCCUGAUCCAGCCACGCCGCGUGUGUGAAGAAGGCCUUAUGGUUGUAAAGCACUUUAAGCGAGGAGGAGGCUACUGAGACUAAUACUCUUGGAUAGUGGACGUUACUCGCAGAAUAAGCACCGGCUAACUCUGUGCCAGCCGCCGCCGUAAUAC
rnacentral:rRNA from 1 species